rnacentral:rRNA from 1 species
UACGGGGGGGGCAAGCGUUGUUCGGAAUUACUGGGCGUAAAGGGCGCGUAGGCGGUGCUCUAAGUUAGAUGUGAAAACUCUGGGCUCAACCCAGAGCCUGCAUCUAAAACUGGAGUGCUAGAGUUCUGGAGGGGGUAGCGGAAUUCCUGGUGUAGCGGUGAAAUGCGUAGAUAUCAGGAGGAACACCGGUGGCGAAGGCGGCUACCUGGACAGAAACGGACGCUGAGGCGCGAAAGCGUGGGGAGCAAACAGG